UUUCAUUCAUUUUUACCUUCAUUCCUCAAAAUACAUUUUCCAAUCCAAACGUGUCUUUGCAGAACGGGCUCAAUUUUAGAAAUCGAUAAGCUCUUCCCCCAACGACUUCCCCCCUCUGUCGUUAGGGUUUAACCGAGGGUUUCUUUCCGUUUUUUAUCUGCACUGUUCAUUUUAGCCAUGGCGAAAACAGGUCGAGGCCGCCCAGCUAAGCCGUCCGGCUCUCGUUCGGGUUCGUCGUCUCGUUCCCGCUCCCGUUCUCGCUUGUUUUCCGGUUCGGACUCUCGCUCAAGCUCACACUCCGGAUCUCGAUCCCGUUCUCGUUCGCAUUCUUCUUCAUCUCCCUCUCGCACCGGUAGUUCUCGCAGUCCAAGUCCCCCUACUAAGAGAAGAUCCGUUCGGCAAAAUUAUGUUUUUGUAAAUUUUACUUAUUACACCACCGAAUUUUUUAUUUUUUGUAUUAUCCCAUUAAACUAAUUAAAAUAUUAAAAUUGGGUUAUUCUGUCUAAAAAGUUGACAGACGUUAAAUUAGUGCUGACAUGGCGUUGAUGUCACAAAAAAAUAAAAAAUAUUGCUU
rnacentral:lncRNA from 1 species